CGGCACGUGGCGCAGCUUGGUAGCGCACCGUCAUGGGGUGUCGGUGGUCAGAGGUUCAAAUCCUCUCGUGCCGA
rnacentral:tRNA from 1 species